rnacentral:rRNA from 1 species
AACGAACGCUGGCGGCAGGCCUAACACAUGCAAGUCGAACGAACCUUCGGGUUAGUGGCGCACGGGUGCGUAACACGUGGGAAUAUACAUUUCGGUAAGGAAUAACACAGAGAAAUUUGUGCUAAUACCUUAUAAUGACUCCGGUCCAAAGAUUUAUCGCCGAAAGGAUUAGCCCGNGCUAGAUUAGUUUGUUGGUGAGGUAAGAGCUCACCAAGACUACGAUCUAUAGCUGGUCUUAGAGGAUGAUCAGCCACACUGGAACUGAGACACGGUCCAGACUCCUACGGGAGGCAGCAGUGAGGAAUAUUGGACAAUGGGGGCAACCCUGAUCCAGCCAUGCCGCGUGAAUGAAGAAGGCC